AUGGGAAUGGCUUUAUUGAGCCAAAUGAGCUUCAUGAGGCACUAGCAGAAGAUGGAGCUCCUGAUAGCAUGGAUGUAGCAAAUGAUAUCUUACAAGAAGUUGACACUGACAAGGAUGGGCGAAUAAGCUAUGAUGAAUUUGUGGC